rnacentral:sRNA from 1 species
AGUGCUGCUUACCCAUCAUGGAAGCAAUGUGGCUCCUGUGUGUGGCGGUGGCGGUCUUGGCAUGGGGCUUCCUCUGGGUUUGGGACUCCUCAGAACGAAUGAAGAGUCUGGAGCAGGGAGGACGGCUGGGAGCCGAAAGCCGGACCCUGCUGGUCAUAGCGCACCCUGACGAUGAAGCCAUGUUUUUUGCUCCCACAGUGCUAGGCUUGGCCCGCCUAAGGCACUGGGUGUACCUGCUUUGCUUCUCUGCAGGAAAUUACUACAAUCAAGGAGAGACUCGUAAGAAAGAACUUUUGCAGAGCUGUGAUGUUUUGGGGAUUCCACUCUCCAGUGUAAUGAUUAUUGACAACAGGGAUUUCCCAGAUGACCCAGGCAUGCAGUGGGACACAGAGCACGUGGCCAGAGUCCUCCUUCAGCACAUAGAAGUGAAUGGCAUCAAUCUGGUGGUGACUUUCGAUGCAGGGGGAGUAAGUGGCCACAGCAAUCACAUUGCUCUGUAUGCAGCUGUGAGGGCCCUGCACUCAGAAGGGAAGUUACCUAAAGGUAAGGCUUGUUCCCUUUGCAAAGGGCCACAAGAUACUGUCCCUCUGAGAAACUUAUGAGGGGGAAAUUUGCAAAUCCACAGAGAGCUGCCCUCAGCCGAGCAGAGGCAGUGGUUGGGGAGGCCGCCACACUCUUCCUGACUCACCUCAAGGUACCUGGCAGGUUGUAUCUACCAGCAAGUGCCUGCCUGCAGGGCCACCUCUGGAUAAGUGGGGAGGCCAGGUUUGCCCCUCACCUGUCUAGCUUUUUCACAGGGUGGAUGUUUUACACCUCUGGUAUUCUUCCAGUCUGAACUCAAUCCCAUCCCCCAACCAAUUAGGCAGGUUGUAAAUGACUGCUGGGUGCUUGAUGAACCAAUCUGCCUGAGUUAGGAACUCUUCCUAACCCACAUAAAGUAUUUGA